UUUUGCAGGAAAAUGGAACAUCUACCAAAAGUGAGGCCCUUUCUCUAGUCAAGCCUAGAAAAAAUAAUGAGAAAGUGAUUCUACAAAUUGGUGAGAAUGAAAUUCCUGGAAAUGCAGAGGAGCUAGGCAAGAAACUGGAGAAACUGCUUGCCAAAAGAAUUUACCAGGAAAUGGAUCCGAUGAAAUUUUCAAUACAGUGCUAUGAUUUCUGCUGUCAACUGCCGGUUAAA